rnacentral:rRNA from 1 species
CCUACGGGUGGCAGCAGUGAGGAAUAUUGGUCAAUGGGCGCGAGCCUGAACCAGCCAAGUAGCGUGAAGGAUGACUGCCCUACGGGUUGUAAACUUCUUUUAUAAAGGAAUAAAGUGAGGCACGUGUGCCUUUUUGUAUGUACUUUAUGAAUAAGGAUCGGCUAACUCCGUGCCAGCAGCCGCGGUAAUACGGAGGAUGCGAGCGUUAUCCGGAUUUAUUGGGUUUAAAGGGUGCGCAGGCGGAAGCGGCAAGUCAGCGGUAAAAUUGCGGGGCUCAACCUCGCCGAGCCGUUGAAACUGCUCUUCUAGAGUGGGCGAGAAGUAUGCGGAAUGCGUGGUGUAGCGGUGAAAUGCAUAGAUAUCACGCAGAACUCCGAUUGCGAAGGUAGCAUACCGGCGCCCAACUGACGCUCAUGCACGAAAGCGUGGGUAUCGAACAGGAUUAGAUACCCUGGUAGUC